rnacentral:rRNA from 1 species
GAACUUAAGCAUAUCAAUAAGGCGAGGAACAGAAACCAACUGGGAUUCCCCUAGUAGUGGCGAAUGAAGCGGGAAAAGCUCAAGUUUGAAAUCCGGCGGGUGACUUCCGGAGUUGUAAGCUGAUGAGGUAUCGACCGACGUGGUCCGGGCCCAAUUUCCUUGGAACAGGAGGUCAUGGAGGGUGAGAACCCCGUCCGUGGCUCGGGUGCCAUCGUCCUUGUGUCGUGUCCUCUAAGAGUCGGGUUGUUUGGGAAUGCAGCUCAAAAUGGGUGGUAAAUUUCAUCUAAAGCUAAAUACUGGCGAGAGACCGAUAGCAAACAAGUAGAGUGAUCGAAAGAUGAAAAGUACUUUGAAAAGAGAGUGAAACAGUACGUGAAAUUGUUGAAAGGGAAGCGUUUGGCAUCAGCCCUUGGCGUCCGUCGAACAUCCAGGCUUCUGCCUGGUGCACUCGUCGGCCGUCGGGCCAGCGUCGGCUCUGCCUGUCGGAGAAAGGUCCGAGGGAUGUGGCUCACCUUCGAGCGUUAUAACCUCGGGCGUCAUGCGAUAUGGUGGGGCCGAGGUCUGCGGACUCUGUCCUAGGACGCUGGCGUAAUGGUUCCAAGCGACCCGUCUUGAAACACGGACCAAGGAGUCUAACAUCUAUGCGAGUGUUUGGGUGUCAAGCCCGUCCGCGCAAUGAAAGUGAAUGCAGGCGGGAGCCGUAAAAGGUGCACCGCCGACCGGUCCGGGGGUUUACCGAAGGAUCCGAGUAAGAGCAUAGCUGUUGGGACCCGAAA